rnacentral:rRNA from 1 species
AUCAAUACAACUUUCAGCAACGGAUCUCUUGGCUCUCGCAUCGAUGAAGAACGCAGCGAAAUGCGAUAAGUAAUGUGAAUUGCAGAAUUCAGUGAAUCAUCGAAUCUUUGAACGCACCUUGCGCUCCUUGGUAUUCCGAGGAGCAUGCCUGUUUGAGUGUCAUUAAAUUCUCAACCUCACCAACAU